ACAAUCUUACAGCCAUUCUUUCAGAUGAUAACUUCCAGUGCCUCUGUAAGGUCAGAUGUUUGCCUCCCUUUUCUCACAAGAAGAAACUGAGAAGGGAAGUGGCAGGUCUCCCAGGUCCCACAGCCAAUCAGCAGUGGGGCUGGAACUCCAACCUUGGGCUCGUAACACCAGACCCUAAACUUCCUGCUCCAGCUCCCCUGAAUCUGGGCAGGAGUUAUAGUUCAAGCCUGACCUGGAUGCAUUCAGGAUAAGGGGUUUCUCCAUAUGUUGCUUCUGGCCCUGAGAAGGCCAUCAUGAUCCUGGGUGGUCUGUGAUGCUGUCCAGGGUAAGCCCAUUUACCCUGAGAGGAUGUAGUACCUCUCCAAGUAACCAUGGAGUCAAGUGUCUAUCUCUGGCCAGCCUCAGGACAACAAAGAUGUUUUCUCACCCAUCACUGAGCUGUACAUUGUGAACAAACUCAGGAAGCAGCAGAUACUGGAGAACCUUCUUGCUCCACUUCUACCAUCUAUUGCCUGUGAGACAUGAGGAAGUCAGUUAACUUCUCUUCCUUUUGGACCCAUUAAUUCCUGAAACAAAAUGAAAGGCACAGGGAAUUGAGGGUGGGGUAUGGUACCAAUAAGCCAUGCACCUCACAGGCUUUUGGUGAUGCUCUAGUCAUAUAAUGAGCAAAGAUAACGCUUGUGAAUUGUAAUGGGAUAUUUAAGUGUAAAAAAGUGUCACCAUAAAUCAGUGAGUGAAUAUUACUCUUGCAGGAAAAUGCAGAUAGGAAAUAAGUAUAAAAUCCAGAAACCACUUUAAUGUCUGCAGUGCUCAUCUAUGCCAUGAUAGGAAUUAUAAGGGAGUUUAGAGCUGUAGUUUUUGGGAUUUGAAGUUGAGGAACUUUUUAUCCAUUGGUAGUUUAAAGUUUACGUUAACAAUGUCAUAAACCUGGACCUUUAGCUGGCCACCUUUGAAAGUAUAUAGAGAAGAUACGCAUGAGAAUAAAGGUACCCACAGGGGGAAAACCAAAUCACAAAAUGAAAUAAACAAAAACUUUAUCAUGAUUAUAACGUUUGAAUCUACGGAAUUUUUUUUUUUUUUUUUUGAGAUGGAGUCUCACUCUGUCUCCCAUACUGGAGUGCAGUGGUGUGAUCUUGGCUCACUGCAACCUCCAUCUCCUGGGUUCAAGUGAUUCUCCUGUCUCACCUCCCAAGUAUCUGUGACUACAGGCCCCAGCCACCACCAUGCCUGGAUAAUUUUUGUCUUUUUAGUAGAGACGGGGUUUCACCAUGUUGGCCAGGCUGGUCUCAAACUCCUGACCUCAGUUGAUCAGCCUGCCUUGGCCUCCCAAAGUGCUGGGAUUAUAGGCAUGAGCCAUUGUGCCAGUCUUGAAUCUGUGGAUUUAGAGAGGCUUUAGGCCUCUUCUUCCCUCUGUUUGUCCCAGUAUUAUUAGUCAAUAUAUUGCUUUCAUUUUCUGGCACUUACCAAAAAAAAAAAAAAAAGAUUUUAACUAAUAUGUUUCUUUUUAUUUUUUUUUCUUUUUAAUGCCAGUAACAUUCUGUACCAGGAGAGGAAAUGCCAAUUUGUUACUGAGAUGUACAGAAGAUUGUUAACUGGGUAUAUGGAAAUUAAGAAUGUAAGCAUAUACAGACAAGGACUGGUGAUGGUGGCAAACUGGUGAUGCUUCAUCCACUUUUACUCUCUCACUGAAUAAUCCAUGAUGGACUGGAGAAUCUCAAUGAUUGGUUCACCAUACUCUGGCAGAAAUUCCUACUGACUGCCAUAUAGGAACAGCUGUUCUUCAUGGGUGACUGCUGUGAAACCAACAGGAUGGCCUCUUUUCUAUUUAAUCCUAAGAGUGGGCAUAAGGUAAAAUAUUGGGUAGGUCCUUUGGAGUUCUAGACUCAGUUUGAGAUUACAGAAGAUAUGCUCAACAUCCUCCUUUGACCUUGUCCCAGUUUCACCAUAUUUGAUAGAUGCUUUAUAGUCUCUGGUAAGGAAUUUUAUUUUGUUCAUUUCAACAAGAAAAAUUACAUAAAUAGGUAACAGCUCCACUCAAAGCUGUUUUAAAUGAACAAAAUAUUGGACUUUGUGAACAAAUGCGAUACUUUUUCUUUCUGUAAUUAUUGGCUAGCAAUCUUAUUUUACUAAAUCUAUACUGACAAAUUUAAUUUGGUCCAUUUAUUUGAGUUUAAAGACUAUUUCAAACUCUCCCCAGUGAAACAGUAAUGGGCCAUUGCUAUCCUCAAAAGAACUAAAUAUAUAAGUAGCAGCUUUCCUCAAAAAAGAUGAUAAAGUCUUCUUUUCCCUUUAGGGCAUAAAUUUCAGUGGCAGAUAAAACUAUUUUACCAACAAUAUGCUCACUUCUUCCAUGGUAUGUUUUUCUUCCCUACUAAGUUGAAAGUUUCUCUCAGUUACCAUAGCCACUCACAAGUUUUUCUCUACCUAACUGAAGUUGCUCUCUUCUGCUGGUCAUUAGGACAUUAACUUUUAGAAUGAUUUCUGUUUCAGCCUCUUGUUUUGAAGGCAGGCUUUUAAUUUCCUCAGAGAAAUUGCAAUGGAAUGAAAAUUUGUUCUCUCUUUUACAUAUGUACACUUUUAUAAGAGAUGUAAUGUUUUUAAAUAAAAUUUUUAAUUCAUACAAAACAUGUCUCUAACAGUGUGAAGGUUAUAAAGAUUAAUAAUAGUAGAAAUGUCCAUGUACAAAUCACACAGAAUAAUUCUAGUCAGAUAUAGUUUUUGUAAGGACAAAAAAGAAAAUAGAUCUAAAAAGGUAAAUAAGAGAGAUCAUUGCAUAGUCCUUUACAGUGCAACAAAGGUUGUUUAGAAAGGACCCGCUCCAUACUUAUCCGAUUCUCCAUUUCCCACUGAAUUUCCUUUCCAAACAAUGUACAGUAUUCUCAAUAUCUAUCAAAAUUCCAUAAAAGUUAUGAUUCCCAAUUUAUACAAACUGUCCACCAAGAUGUUUUCUCCCAAACAUCGCAUUCUGGAACCAAGCCAUUAAAGACUUGGACUGUGACACAGUUUUCAUUAUGAGAACCAUACACAUUGGUGUAAUUACCCUCACCUCCUAUUUACUACCCUCUAAAGGGAAUCCCUAUGGCCUUAGGCUUACACACACAUCUAGGAGCUCUAAGGACCAGGAAAAGUUAAAAGUGAACCAACCACUCAAUAAGGUGGCUCUUCAGACCCUUCAGUGCCUACCACGAAGGAGAACAAUUCCACAGGAAAUGGCUUAGGCAGAGUCAUCCCAAACCUAAGCUGCCUCUACUGGCUAGAAAUCAACUGUGGAGUUCCAACCCACAGUAACCAGCCAGCCAUACCCCGGGCUUUCAUUCUCAUAAAAGACUAAACUACUGUAAACCCAAAAUAAAAUUCUAAGGCCCCCCUCCAACCAUCUGAAUGGACAUCCUCCUCUGCCAGGGCACUCUAAAAUUUAACCUGAAAGACUGGUUCAGGAUAUGGCAGAAAGUAGGGGGGUCGGACCUACCUCAUUAUACCCUCCAACAUUAACAUAAACUCAGACCUUAAAUAUGAUAAGAAACCUUCUAAUGUAUUCUCUCUGAAGGCAUCUACCUGGAGGCUCCAUCAGGAUGAUGAAACUUUGGUGUCUACAACCUCUUACUAUAACCCAGACAUUGCAUUUUAUUGAUAAUACCAGUUGCCAAUCAGAAAAUUUUUAAAUCUACCUAUAAAUUGAAAGCAACCCCCCUUCCAGUUGUAUCUUAAAUGUAUUUAAAUGAUGUCUCAUGUCUCCCUAAAAUGUAUAAAAUCAAGCUGCACCCCGACCACCUUGGGCACAUGUUCUCAGGAUAUCCUGAGGGCUUUGUCACAGGCCAUAGUCACUCAUAUUUGUCUAAGAAUAAAUCUUUUCAAAUA